rnacentral:lncRNA from 1 species
UUACUAUGACAAGGAAUCCACUGUCUAUGUAAAAACUGUCCAAGGAAAUAGUGGAUUCUGGUGAAACUGAUGACAGUAAACUCCAGGUCCUUUCAAGACAGCUGAUACAGUCACGAUCUUUGACAACAAGAUAACCCUUCAAAUCCCUGUUGAUCACAACACUAGACGGUCAGAAUAUAUGUUAGAUCAGGAAGGGAACAAGUGUUUAGAAGAAAUGAGCCCCGUCAACAAAGCUGUAACCUCAGAAAAAGGCCUCAAAGGCCUCUGCUAUCCACAGUGGUUACCACUGAUAAGUACACAGCUUGAAGACCCAGAUGGUAGUUUUCCAAAGGCUGAGAUGACAGAAAAAUGUGGCAAAGAAACCAGAAAAAAUACUUGCAGUCUGCAGCUACUGGCCUGACUUUAAAAAUGGCAACCAGCAAAGUCCUUUCUGAUUCUAAAUGUAUUGGUAAAUAUUUGUUUUCUUCCAAAUCAUAAAUAAGAUCCAAAAAAUAUACCAAGUCAGAUUGUCUCUACACUCAUCAAGAAUACCUGCACUGCUUCAAGAAAGUAGCACAGCAUUAGUACCAUAUUUAAGUAGUCAUCUUUGCCAUUUCUUGCCUAUUUUUAAAACACUGUAGAUUUAACAGUUUCCAGAACCACCCUGCCAUCACUGUAUUGCCACAACAUGCCUUAAA